rnacentral:rRNA from 1 species
GACGAACGCUGGCGGCGUGCUUAACACAUGCAAGUCGAACGGAAAGGCCCUGCUUUUGUGGGGUGCUCGAGUGGCGAACGGGUGAGUAACACGUGAGUAACCUGCCCUUGACUUUGUGAUAACUUCAGGAAACUGGGGCUAAUACCGGAUAGGAGCUCCUGCUGCAUGGUGGGGGUUGGAAAGUUUCGGCGGUUGGGGAUGUACUCGCGGCUUAUCAGCUUGUUGGUGGGGUAGUGGCUUACCAAGGCUUUGACGGGUAGCCGGCCUGAGAGGGUGACCGGCCACAUUGGGACUGCGAGACGGCCCAGACUCCUACGUGCGGCAGCAGUGGGGAGUAUUGCACAAUGGGCGGAAGCCUGAUGCAGCAACGCCGCGUGCGUGAUGACGGCUUUCGGGUUGUAAACCGCUUUCGCCGGUGAUGAAGCGUGCGUGACGGUAAUGGGUAAAGAAGCAACGGCUAACUACGUG